rnacentral:pre_miRNA from 1 species
GUUAUGCCCGUGUGCAGGCAUCUUUCCAGCCUACACGUGGGGUCCUGAUUCUGCAGGCUGGUUAGAUGGUUGUCACAUGCAUGAC